rnacentral:rRNA from 1 species
UACGGAGGGUGCGAGCGUUGUCCGGAUUCAUUGGGCGUAAAGCGCACGUAGGCGGAUUGCUAAGUCAGGGGUGAAAUCCUGGAGCUCAACUCCAGAACUGCCCUUGAUACUGGCGGUCUCGAGUCCGGGAGAGGUGAGUGGAACUGCGAGUGUAGAGGUGAAAUUCGUAGAUAUUCGCAAGAACACCAGUGGCGAAGGCGGCUCACUGGCCCGGUACUGACGCUGAGGUGCGAAAGCGUGGGGAGCAAACAGG